rnacentral:rRNA from 1 species
UACGAGGGGGGCAAGUGUUGUUCGGAAUCACUGGGCGUAAAGGGAGCGUAGGCGGAUGUUUAAGUCGGGAGUUUAAAAACCGGGGCCCAACCCCGGAGCGGCUCCCGAAACUGGGCAUCUUGAAUAGGUCAGAGGCUGGUGGAAUUGGAGGUGUAGCGGUGGAAUGCGUAGAGAUCUCCAAGAACACCUAUUGCGAAGGCAGCCAGCUGGGACCAUAUUGACGCUGAGGCUCGAAAGCAUGGGGAGCAAACAGG